AUGAGCCCCAGGCUCCUCUGCUGGGUGGCUCUCAGUCUCCUGGGGGCAGAGCUCAGAGAAGCUGGAAUUGUCCAGUCCCCCAGAUAUAAGAUUGCAGAGAAAAGACAGGCCGUGUCUUUUUGGUGUGACCCUAUUUUGAGCCACAUUACCCUUUACUGGUACUGGCACACUCCGGGACAGGGCCUGGAGCUUCUGAUUUGCUUUCAGAAUGAGGCUAUUUCAGAUGAUUCACAGUUGCCAAAGGAUCGAUUUUCUGCGAAGAGGCCCAAAGGAGCAGACUCUACUCUCAAGAUCCAGCCUGUAGAGCUGGGGGACUCGGCCGUGUAUCUCUGUGCCAGCAGCUUAACCACAGCAUUGCAGAGACACUUCCCUCCUGUGCACAAAACUGUGUGGUUCUAUUCUCUCUGCUCAGCUCACAGCAGCUCUGAACAGAGGCCUCACCUUAUUCCUCAUCAUUCAUGA